UUAGUACUCGGAUCGAUUAAUUGAAAAAUUUAUGAAUUAAUAAUAAUUAUUCAUACAUUUUUUAAGAGGUGCAUGUAUAAUUUUCUCAAUUAUUUUCCAGUUUUUGUAUAUUAUUAAUUACAUAAAAACAAAUUUCCAUCCAUAUGAAACAAUCUCUUGAAUUUUGCUUGAAAAUAUAUAUUAUUGCAGAAAAUUAAAAACGUAUUGUUAAAUAAUAUAUAAUAUAUAUAUAUUUUUUUUUCUAAAAAAUAUAUAAACAUAACCUAAAAUUUACACGAACAUUUAAGCUUUUUCUAUAGACCUAAGAUGAAUAGCUUCGCGAAAGACGUUCGCGAACGUGAAACAUGAGUUAGAAAAGGACAGAGAUAUAUUCGUAUCCUUUUUCUAUCUCAUGCAUCUCGUUCGCGAACGACUUUCGCGAAUCUAUUGUGCGUUGGCCUUAUAGUAUAUAAUAAUUCUCUAUGAUCACUGAUCAACUGUUUUCUUCCGGUUUUAAAGAGAUAUUAAAAAUUCCUCAUUAGAUUAUUAUAAUUGAAUCUGUGAUAGAUUUUUUUAUGCAAUUAAUUAUAAUGUACUAAUUUGUUAAUUUUCAACAAUAUUUGUUUGACGUUUUAUUUUCCAAUUAUUAGUUUUAUUUUGGGACUAUCUUCCCAUUUUGAGUCUACCGGAAACCGAAAGUAAUAAACAGAAAACUUUUCCAAAUAACUAUGAGAGUCAAAAGACAUUUUGAUUAUCGGAAAAAAUUUUAAUUACUUUUUAAAAUUGCAAACAAUUCAAAAUUUUUAAUGAAAUAAGAAAAAUUAUUAUAAAUAAUUAUAAACAUUCGAGAUAAAAAAAUAGAUUUUUUUGUAUCAAGUAGUGCUCUGCUUAAUGCUAAUUGUGUCCAAUUGUGUCAUCAGUGCGGCGACCUUUGUGUUUUGCUUUAUCGAAAAUUGAAACAAAUUGAAUUAGUGUCACAAAUUUUAAGUACCGGGUAAUAAUUAGUUUUCAUUGAUAGAGUCGUAAAAAAUGCAUGAACAAAAUACAUUUAGAAAAAUACCUAUCAUGUUCAACAAAUUUAUUUGUUUUUCUUCCCUCCCCCUUUCAUCAAGCUCCGCCAUUUUGAUUUCGAAGAAACACGACAAGCUAGUGAUUUUUUUCAGUGUUGUUGUUAUUCCAUUUACAUGUUUUCACAAUCAUUCACAAUAUUUAAAAAACAUUUAGUAACUUAUUUCGCGAUUCCCACAGUUACAAAAUGUCCUACAAUCAAAUCGUAUAAAUAAUUAGGCGAAAUGGUGUGUUUUUUUGUUUUGACGUGGAUGCGUCCUGAGUGGAAUUCAAAGUUCAUCUAAAAAUCUAUAUCACGUGUGAAAUUAUCGUUAAAAAUUCUUGCCAAAAAAAGAAAUACCAUACAAAAUUUUUGCCGUAUUGAAAAUAAAUUAAAUUAAUUAAAGUCGCAAAACCUAACCUAAAAAAAAUUAUUAUUCGCUUUCCGGCUUUCUUGUUUCGCGGUGCAAUAAAAAUCAUCAUAGUUUCAUAGUCUUGUUUUAUUUACUUUUCUUGUAAAAAUUAUACAGCCGUGACUAUUGGAAAUUUAGACAAAAAAGUUUGAGCACUCAAUUUCAAAUCAACAUUUGUACCUGUAAAUGAAAAUAAUAAUCAGCUGUUCGCCUAUUCAACGGAGCAAAAUUGAUUGCACAUCUUGGAAACGCGGAGAACGAUGUCUGGCAUUCACGUUUCACACAUGGUUAGAAGAACAUGCAGUGACUAAUACAGUUCAAUUUAGUCAACUUUUCUUUUCCAUUUAAGCAAUGUGGAAAAUAUCAAAUUUUUGUUAUCAGACAUAUAAUCUUAAGGUAAGCACUGUGAAAUAUAGCUUGUGGCCGACCCCGGUGAUUAUAGACAAACAGAAGGGAACACGAAAGAAGAAAAAAGGCGGUCUCGUUCGCAGUUAUCCUCGCGGCAGGACGUCCCUUCUGUAUAUAAGUUCCAUACGUACAUAUUACACAUGGCGAUUCGCAGGCGAUUAUUUCAUAAGCAUUCCCAAGAGUUGAAGUCUCGCGAUUGCGAAAAGAGAAGACUUACUCCCACUCGACUUUACCGUAAUUAAAACAAUUGUAGAAUAAAUUAUAUGAUUAUUUUUCCUAAUGGGGGUGAGGGAGAAUAAGAAAACUUUUAAUGUCAAUUAAAGUCACUGAAUUAAUCAAAUUUAGUAAUAAAGAAAAAGACAGUGCAUGCAAAGCACAUGAAAAUGUAUCGAAAUAUCUCGAUGGUCGAAAAAAUCGAAUGUAAGAAAAAAUGAACUUUGCUUUCCACAGUAUCUAAAUCAAUAUUCAUUUUAUGAAAAUCACCUUAAAUUAUUGUUCCACAUAUAUAUUUUGCAUAACUUACUUAAAUGCAAUAAAUAUACACUUGCAAAGCAUUUAUUUGUUGUAAAUGUUUGCAGCUGUCAUGAAUCAGAAACGAACAUAACCUACAUUUAGUUGAAAUCAUCUGAUUGGCCCAAGACAAAAUAGCGCACGCUUUUUUAAAAUAAUGAAAUAUAUUAAAUUAUAAUAAAAUAAUUAAAAUAAAUUAAAUUAUUAUGAAAAUAAUAUUACCUUGAAUAAAAAGUAAUUAUGUACCCAUAAUUCUUUCCAAAUUCAGAUUUUCGUAUUCGAAUUUGUUGAAUAAUAAAUAAAAUAAAUUUGAAUGGAGGAAAUCCCAAGUACAACAUCAUAAGCAUAAAAUCAAUGUAAAAUCUAUUUUACCGACUGAAGAUAAAAAUGAAAUUUUCUUUAUCUUAAGCAGGUAAAACAUGACUUUUUUCGUUGCAUCGCAGCCAGUAUAAGAUCAAUUUACAUUUUUUUGACAUUUCUUAUA